UUCAAGGUCCCUUUCCAGCUCUGCCAUUCUAUGGCUGUGACCCUUCAGGCUUUGCUCUGCUUUAGCUAAUCUGAUUAGCUAAUUCCCGCUGAGACGUUACUGGUUCUGAGGCUGCUUGAGUCCCCCAGUGUCUCAUUCCAGCCAGGAAAGCUGCCUGAUGAGCUGGUUUCGCAGAGGUAUUUUUAUGCCUUGAGCUUUCUGAAAUGGGCAGGAAACAGGAAAGGAUAAACCCAGCACCCGUUAAUUAAAUCCCAGCGCGGCUGAUGCUUCCCAGGAAGAAUGUCCAAACUCUUUAGUUUGGCCUUCGAGAGUUUCCAUGGUCUGGGGACUCUUCCCUUCUGAAGGCAUUUGUGAAGCAUCUACUCCUAUGUGUCAAGCACCUUGCUCGGGCUGGAAAUACAGACAAAAUGAGAGUUCCCUGCACUCGGGGAGUUUGUGUCCUAACGGAGGAGACAGCAUGUGUAUGUGUAUAUGUAUGUACAUGCCUAUGUAGAUGGAUAUAUGUGUAUAUGUAUAUAUAUGUGUAGAUGUGAAAUACAUACAGAAUCACCACGUCAUUGAAUUCGAGAGUUGAAAGGGACCACUAGUCCAACCCAUAAACAAAGGAGUCUUCGUUGUUGUCUAUCCUCUUCUUGAAGAGACAGUUUACUGCCCUUUUGGAUGGCUCUCAUCAUUUGGAAACUUUCCUGACAUCAAAUCUGAAUUGCUCCUUUCUAACUUCCAACCAUGAACUCCUAUUUCUGUAGUUUGGGUCAAACAGGGCUUUCUGUAUCUGUCUGAUGUAUCUGCUUCCUAAAGAAUGCAAUAUAUCCUGGUCCAACAGCUCCCUUUCAAAGUGUAAUGGACAAAAUGGUGGUGGAGGGGAGGAGAGAAAAAGACUUUCCUUCUCUGUGGCAGAGGUCUCCUCCACAAGUUGCUCUCUGACUUGUAAUAUCUUCAAAUCUUGAAUUCUGAAAUACGUCCAGGUUUUAGCUAUUUAAAACCUCGAGACAUGCCUCAUUUGCUUGCUUAGUCAAUAGAGUUGUUCCCUUCUUGACUCAAUCAGAGAAGUAUUAGCACUUCACAAAGGGAUGAGGCCUAUAGAUUACAUGCACACAUAUCGU